rnacentral:ncRNA from 1 species
GAUCCAGCCAAAAGUUUCUUUUCUGGCUUUGUGGAGAACAAAUUGUCUCAGCACUUUGCCACCUCAAUGUUGGCUCAGCGCAUCCUACAGGUGAAGAAGCUUGUAAGGGUUAGACUGUUUGUUUAGUAAAGUGCUACGUGAGCUGGGUUCAGUACAACAUGAGUCAGUACGGCUUAUAUCUUCAGGAAA